rnacentral:tRNA from 7 species
CUUGUAGCUCAGGUGGUUAGAGCGCACCCCUGAUAAGGGUGAGGUCGGUGGUUCAAGUCCACUCAGG